rnacentral:rRNA from 1 species
UACGUAGGGUGCAAGCGUUGUCCGGAAUCAUUGGGCGUAAAGAGCGCGUAGGCGGCCCAGUAAGUCCGCUCUGAAAGUCAGAGGUUCAACCUCUGAAUGCGGGUGGAUACUGCUGGGCUAGAGUCCGGAAGAGGCGAGUGGAAUUCCUGGUGUAGCGGUGAAAUGCGCAGAUAUCAGGAGGAACACCGAUGGCGAAGGCAGCUCGCUGGGACGGUACUGACGCUGAGGCGCGAAAGCGUGGGGAGCAAACAGG